rnacentral:rRNA from 1 species
GACGAACGCUGGCGGCGCGCCUAACACAUGCAAGUCGAACGGAGCUGAGAGAAGCUUGCUUUUCUUAGCUUAGUGGCGAACGGGUGAGUAACGCGUGAGUAACCUGCCCUGGAGUGGGGGACAACAGUUGGAAACGACUGCUAAUACCGCAUAAGCCCACGAUCCGGCAUCGGAUUGAGGGAAAAGGAUUUAUUCGCUUCAGGAUGGACUCGCGUCCAAUUAGCUAGUUGGUGAGGUAACGGCCCACCAAGGCGACGAUUGGUAGCCGGACUGGGAGGUUGAACGGCCACAUUGGGACUGAGACACGGCCCAGACUCCUACGGGAGGCAGCAGUGGGGGAUAUUGCACAAUGGGGGAAACCCUGAUGCAGCGACGCCGCGUGGAGGAAGAAGGUUUUCGGAUUGUAAACUCCUGUCGUUAGGGACGAUAAUGACGGUACCUAACAAGAAAGCACCGGCUAACUACGUG